AACGCACCUUGCGCCCUCUGGUAUUCCGGAGGGCAUGCCUGUUUGAGUGUCAUUAUAUUCUCAACUUCAAUAAUUUAUUGUUGAAGCUUGGAUGUGGAGGCUUUUGCUGGCAUCUCAGAUGUCCGGCUCCUCUUAAAUGCAUUAGUGGAACCCGUUCAGUUGGGCUAUCCUUGGUUGUGAUAAUUAUCUACGCUUUGGAUUAGUCUCUAACAAACUCUUAGUGGUCAAUGUACUUUUGUACGUUGGUUUGGGGUAUUGCAUUCAUUUGCUUCGCCUGGUUCACUAUAGAGUGAAAGGGAAAGUGACCGCUUUCGAACUGUCUGUGUAUUGCGGACGAUUUUAUUGACUAUUUGACCUCAAAUCAGGUAGGACUACCCGCUGAACUUAA
rnacentral:misc_RNA from 3 species